UAUUCCAACGGCUCAUUUUGCUGCGCUGUGGCUUCAAGGAAUGUGGCCCUUGAUCU
rnacentral:lncRNA from 1 species